rnacentral:tRNA from 1 species
GCCUAGUUAGCUUGGUUGGUAGUGUGUCUGUCUUGUAAGCGCUAGGCCGCGGGUUCGAUUCCCGCCCGGGGCG